UACGUAGGGUGCGAGCGUUAAUCGGAAUUACUGGGCGUAAAGCGUGCGCAGGCGGUUCGCUGUGUCCGAUGUGAAAGCCCCGGGCUUAACCUGGGAAUGGCAUUGAAAACUGGCGGGCUUGAGUGCGGCAGAGGGGGGUGGAAUUCCGCGUGUAGCAGUGAAAUGCGUAGAGAUGCGGAGGAACACCGAUGGCGAAGGCAGCCCCCUGGGUCGACACUGACGCUCAGGCACGAAAGCGUGGGGAGCAAACAGG
rnacentral:rRNA from 1 species